AUUGAACGCUGGCGGCAGGCCUAACACAUGCAAGUCGAACGAGUGGCGGACGGGUGAGUAAUGUCUGGGAAACUGCCCGAUGGAGGGGGAUAACUACUGGAAACGGUAGCUAAUACCGCAUACCAUCGGAUGUGCCCAGAUGGGAUUAGCUAGUAGGGGGGGUAACGGCUCACCUAGGCGACGAUCCCUAGCUGGUCUGAGAGGAUGACCAGCAACACGGGAACUGAGACACGGUCCAGACUCCUACGGGAGGCAGCAGUGGGGAAUUUUGGACAAUGGGGGAGACCCUGAUCCAGCCAUCCCGCGUGUGCGAUGAAGGCCUUCGGGUUGUAAAGCACUUUUGGCAGGGAAGCGGUACCUGCAGAAUAAGCACCGGCUAACUACGUGCCAGCAGCCGCGGUAAUAC
rnacentral:rRNA from 1 species